UAAUGUGCUGAUGAUUGACCAACACUUCUGACUUGUGUUGUUCCACUAUUCACCACUCGAUGGUGCACGUCUUCUCAGUGUACCUGUGGAUUUGUCAGUAAAUAUAGUAGGGUCCAAAAGGCUGAGGGCAUAUUGAAGAUCUGGGAUUUUUUUUCAGCCUGAAAAAGCUAAAUGUUUUAG